ACUCAGAUUGGAAAAGGCUAAGCAAAGAGCUUUGCUAAAUAGAGAGUUUUAGCCCCCAUCUUUUGGGAUUUCAGACGAUAUUUAUCCAAAUAGUAUUUUCUCAUCCUGAAUACUAAAUUGAGAUGAUUUUGUUUUCUUCUUUACAGGCCAGCACCUCACAUGCUACCAGCAGAUUACCUGUGAUGACAGAUUCUGCAUGUCAGACUGACCCACCCAAGUACCGUACUGUUCGUACACAGCUAUCCUCGAGGACUCUUGGUUCACAUCGAAGUACAGCUGUCCAGGCUAAAAUUCCCUGCAGAAGCGUUGGUGUCGAAACACUUCCGUUGGAAGUGCCAGUGCCCUUUUUAACAUCCACCCCCUUAAAGAGACCACCAAAGAGGCCCCGUGUGGAUCUUGAAGAGGAAUACGAAGAUCCAUUUGAGGGAAGCUCUUCUUUGGUGAUUUCCGAAGGCCAGGAUGCAACUUAUGAUCCAGCAGAAUCCAUAACAAAUGCUACAGAAACAACAGCCAUGUCUGGUCAAGAACAAAACCCCCCCCAGACGAUCAACACAUACAUCGUGUAUGAGACCUGCCUCAUGGAGCUUUUUGAAUCAUGUCCUGUGUGCAAGCGUGUGUGUAAUGUACAAACCAGAAGGAUCGGUACAUUCAUAUCAGUGCAGCAGCUGUGCCCCCAUUGUCAGUUUACAAGAAACUGGAAUAGCCAGCCUGUUCUUGGGAGUACUCCAGUUGGAAACCUGCAGCUAUCAGUUGCAACAUAUGUCAACAGAGCAUCUUUCUACAAACUUUCAAAGGUCUUCAAACAAUGAAUAUGCAGCUAUGCAAAUACAACACCUUCCGAAGGCAUGCCAGGAUGUUCAUUGAGCCAGCGAUUGUUUCUUACUGGCAAAAAUCACAGGAAGGCAUGCUACAGAAGCUCCAUGCAGAGGAGAAAGUGAUAGUUGGUGGUGAUAUGAGGGCUGACUCUCCAGGCCACUCUGCAAAGUUCGGAGGCUACACUAUGAUGGACCUGAAGAACAACAAAGUCGUUGACCUCCAGUUGGUUCAGAGCAAUGAGGUUGGUGGAAGCUACCACAUGGAGUUAUAGGGCCUGAAAAGGAGUCUGGAGUUGUUAAAGGAACGUGGUGUGACUCUGGACUGUAUUGUCACGGACAGACAUCUGCAAAUUCAGAAAUUCCUAAGGGAAAGCAGCAUCACCCAAUUCUUUGAUGUGUGGCACAUAGAAAAAGGGAUUUCUAAGCUACUGGAGAAGGCUGCAAAAAAGAAGGACUGCGAAAAACUUCGAGGGAACGCCGGCCUUUCACAAGCUGGAGACAAUUCUCUCAACCAAGAGGAUUUUGAAAGCUGUGGCCAAACUCAGCCCACACCACCAGACUUAAUCUUUGGAGUCAUUCCAUGCCGUCAUCCUGCGCUUUGCUCCAAAGAAUGUUGUGUUUCCAUUUCUUGGAAUGUUGUGCAGAAAUUAAAGACUGUACCUGGCAGCCCUGCACUACAAUGAAAACGCUGAGCGUGCACAAGCC